rnacentral:rRNA from 1 species
UGAGGGAAUAUUGGGUCAAUGGGCGAGAGCCUGAACCAGCCAAGUCGCGUGAGGGAAGACGGUCCUACGGAUUGUAAACCUCUUUUGUCGGGGAGUAAUAGGCGGACGUGUCCUGCUGUGAGAGUACCCGAAGAAAAAGCAUCGGCUAACUCCGUGCCAGCAGCCGCGGUAAUACGGAGGAUGCGAGCGUUAUCCGGAUUUAUUGGGUUUAAAGGGUGCAUAGGUGGUUUGUUAAGUUUGUGGUGAAAGCGUGCGGCUCAACCGUACCAAGCCAUGAAAACUGGCGAACUCGAGUGCAAACGAGGUAGGCGGAAUGUGAUGUGUAGCGGUGAAAUGCUUAGAUAUGUCACAGAACCCCGAUUGCGAAGGCAGCUUACCAGCAUGCAACUGACACUGAGGCACGAAAGCGUGGGUAUC